AUUGAACGCUGGCGGCAUGCUUUACACAUGCAAGUCGAACGGUAACAGGGUGCUUGCACCGCUGACGAGUGGCGAACGGGUGAGUAAUGCAUCGGAACGUACCCAGUCGUGGGGGAUAACGUAGCGGAAGUUACGCUAAUACCGCAUACGUCCUGAGGGAGAAAGCGGGGGACCGUAAGGCCUCGCGCGAUUGGAGCGGCCGAUGUCGGAUUAGCUAGUUGGUAGGGUAAAGGCCUACCAAGGCGACGAUCCGUAGCGGGUCUGAGAGGAUGAUCCGCCACACUGGGACUGAGACACGGCCCAGACUCCUACGGGAGGCAGCAGUGGGGAAUUUUGGACAAUGGGCGAAAGCCUGAUCCAGCCAUGCCGCGUGAGUGAAGAAGGCCUUCGGGUUGUAAAGCUCUUUCAGAUGGAAAGAAAACGUACAGGUUAAUACCUUGUGCGGAUGACGGUACCAUCAGAAGAAGCACCGGCUAACUACGUGCCAGCCGCCGCCGUAAUAC
rnacentral:rRNA from 1 species